UGCCAGCCGCCGCGGUAAUACGGAGGGGGCGAGCGUUAACCGGAAUUAUUGGGCGUAAAGCGCGCGUAGGUGGCUAUGUCAGUCGGAUGUGAAAGCCCUGGGCUUAACCUGGGAAUUGCAUUCGAUACUGCAUGGCUAGAGUAUAGUAGAGGGUAGUGGAAUUCCAGGUGUAGCGGUGAAAUGCGUAGAUAUCUGGAGGAACAUCAGUGGCGAAGGCGGCUCUCUGGACUGAUAUUGACGCUGAGGUGCGAAAGCGUGGGGAGCAAACAGGAUUAGAUA
rnacentral:rRNA from 1 species